rfam:Dipodomys ordii contig_5855, whole genome shotgun sequence.
GGAAAAGUGGCUCAGUGGUAGAUCGCUUGCCUUGCAUGCAUGAGGCCAUGGGUUCAAUUCCUCCAUACCA